AGUAAUGCAACCCCACAAAUGGAUGUUUUUUUUUUUUCUUCUACGCCCGUACUUUGUGUUUCUGUCUGUGUGCAGUGAUGAUUGUGCAUGUCAAGGGCCCGUGCCGUCCUCAUUGAGUUUUCGUCGUCUCCUCUUUUUGUCCUGUCCUUAAGGCUGGCCAUGCUUGCACGAGCUUUUCAUCUCCAAUCGAUACCUAUUGAGCUGUUCAUGAAAGGGAAAUGACAGCUAGUUCAUAACUUCCAAGGCUGAUCAAUAAGUACCUGCAGUAGCUCAACUCCUUCCUGAAACACUCGUCUCUGCAAGAACUCCUCCACCUACAACCACCAUCUCAAAGAACAGCAUUCAGUACCUCCACAUGCCCUGAAGACCAGAGAAGAUGGCAUGGGAAACUUUGCAAUGUGCCAUGCUUACAUCAUGCCUGACCCCCCUCAGCACUGCACACAUACAGUGUUUUAUAACACCAACAGCAGUUGUAGGUGCGUCUUCCCUGGUGGUGAACAAAUGAGCAAAGGAAGAGAUUGGGGGGUCUCUGCAGCUCUAAAUAUGGGACCCCCACCAGUUUCUCCAUUCGGUUUCCACUGUGUUCAAAGGAUCAGGGAACCUCCCUCAUUUAUGGUAACCACUUUUAGAGAGCAAGCAGACAGACACCAACAUGGAGACCCAAAGAAGAAAUGUUUAUUGGUACUGUUUUGUUAUGCGAGCUACCUGCUCACCUUGAGAUCACUUCAUGUUUAAGUGACGCAGAUUUGAAGUUGCAGUAAACGCACAU